GCUUCGUGCUCCCGGGGGUUUCGGCCCCUAACUCUUCACCCUUUGCGUACCUACCUUUGUUGCUUUGGCGGGCCUGAGAGUCCUCUCGCGCCGCCUGUCGGCCGGCGAGUGUCCGUCAGAGGCCCAUUUAAUUCUAUUCAUUAGAGACGUCUGAGUUCCAAUACAAUAAGUAAAAACUUUCAACAACGGAUCUCUUGGUUCCAGCAUCGAUGAAGAACGCAGCGAAAUGCGAUAAGUAAUGUGAAUUGCAGAAUUCAGUGAAUCAUCGAAUCUUUGAACGCACAUUGCGCCCCUCGGCAUUCCGGGGGGCAUGCCUGUUCGAGCGUCAUUGCACCCCUCAAGCGCAGCUUGGUAUUGGGCCCUCGCCCCCGCGGCGUGCCCGAAAAACAGUGGCGGUCCGGUGUGACUUUAAGCGUAGUAAUAUCUUCCCGCUCUAGAGUACUCGCCGUGGCCGGCCAAAGAACCCCAUUUGCUUUUAUAAUUGACCUCGGAUCAGGUAGGGAUACCCGCUGAACUUAAGCAUAUCAAUAAGCGGAGGAAAAGAAACCAACAGGGAUUGCCUCAGUAACGGCGAGUGAAGCGGCAACAGCUCAAAUUUGAAAUCUGGCUCCUUCGGGGUCCGAAUUGUAAUUUGUAGAGAGUGCUUCGGGCGAGACCUCGGUCUAAGUCCAUUGGAACAUGGUGUCAUAGAGGGUGAGAAUCCCGUAUGCGACCGUGGCUCGAGCCCAUGUGAAGCCUCUUCGACGAGUCGAGUUGUUUGGGAAUGCAGCUCAAAAUGGGUGGUAAAUUUCAUCUAAAGCUAAAUACUGGCUGGAGACCGAUAGCGCACAAGUAGAGUGAUCGAAAGAUGAAAAGCACUUUGGAAAGAGAGUCAAACAGUACGUGAAAUUGUUGAAAGGGAAGCGCUUGCAACCAGACCUGCCCGUAGGCGAUCCGCCGCUGUUCUCAGCGGUGUACUCGCUCUGCGAUCAGGCCAGCAUCGGUUUCGGCGGUCGGAUAAAGGCCUUGGGAAUGUAGCUUCCCCUCGGGGGAGUCUUAUAGCCCUCGGUGUAAUGCGGCCAGCUGGGACCGAGGACCGCGCUUCGGCUAGGAUGCUGGCGUAAUGGUUGUAAGCGACCCGUCUUGAAACACGGACCAAGGAGUCUAACAUCUAUGCGAGUGUUUGGGUGUCAAACCCAUACGCGAAAUGAAAGUGAACGGAGGUGAGAGCCCUUAAGGGCGCAUCAUCGACCGAUCCAGAUGUCUUCGGAUGGAUUUGAGUAUGAGCAUAGCUGUUGGGACCCGAAAGAUGGUGAACUAUGCCUGAAUAGGGUGAAGCCAGAGGAAACUCUGGUGGAGGCUCGCAGCGGUUCUGACGUGCA
rnacentral:rRNA from 1 species